UACGUAGGGUGCAAGCGUUAUCCGGAAUUAUUGGGCGUAAAGAGCUCGUAGGCGGUUUGUCGCGUCUGCUGUGAAAACUGGAGGCUCAACCUCCAGCCUGCAGUGGGUACGGGCAAACUAGAGCGCGGUAGGGGAGAUUGGAAUUCCUGGUGUAGCGGUGGAAUGCGCAGAUAUCAGGAGGAACACCGAUGGCGAAGGCAGAUCUCUGGGCCGUAACUGACGCUGAGGAGCGAAAGCAUGGGGAGCAAACAGG
rnacentral:rRNA from 1 species